AUGAACGCUGGCGGCGUGCCUAACACAUGCAAGUCGAGCGAAGCGAUUCGGAUGAAGUUUUCGGAUGGAAUCCGAAUUGACUGAGCGGCGGACGGGUGAGUAACGCGUGGGUAACCUGCCUCAUACAGGGGGAUAACAGUUAGAAAUGACUGCUAAUACCGCAUAAGCGCACAGUACCGCAUGGUACGGUGUGAAAAACUCCGGUGGUAUGAGAUGGACCCGCGUCUGAUUAGCUGGUUGGUGAGGUAACGGCUCACCAAGGCGACGAUCAGUAGCCGACCUGAGAGGGUGACCGGCCACAUUGGGACUGAGACACGGCCCAAACUCCUACGGGAGGCAGCAGUGGGGAAUAUUGCACAAUGGGGGAAACCCUGAUGCAGCGACGCCGCGUGAGUGAAGAAGUAUUUCGGUAUGUAAAGCUCUAUCAGCAGGGAAGAAAAUGACGGUACCUGACUAAGAAGCCCCGGCUAACUACGUGCCAGCAGCCGCGGUAAUACGUAGGGGGCAAGCGUUAUCCGGAUUUACUGGGUGUAAAGGGAGCGUAGACGGCGGAGCAAGUCUGAAGUGAAAACCCAGGGCUCAACCCUGGGACUGCUUUGGAAACUGUUUUGCUAGAGUGCUGGAGAGGUAAGUGGAAUUCCUAGUGUAGCGGUGAAAUGCGUAGAUAUUAGGAGGAACACCAGUGGCGAAAGGCGGCUUACUGGACAGUAACUGACGUUGGAGGGCUCGAAAGCGUGGGGAGCAAACAGGAUUAGAUACCCUGGUAGUUCACGCCGUAAACGAUGAAUACUAGGUGUUGGCGAGCAAAGCUUGUCGGUGCCGUCGCAAACGCAAUAAGUAUUCCACCUGGGGAGUACGUUCGCAAGAAUGAAACUCAAAGGAAUUGACGGGGACCCGCACAAGCGGUGGAGCAUGUGGUUUAAUUUGAAGCAACGCGAAGAACCUUACCAAGUCUUGACAUCGGAAUGACCGGGAAGUAACGUUCCCUUCUCUUCGGAGCAUUCCAGACAGGUGGUGCAUGGUUGUCGUCAGCUCGUGUCGUGAGAUGUUGGGUUAAGUCCCGCAACGAGUGCAACCCUUAUCCUUAGUAGCCAGCACGUAGAGGUGGGCACUCUAGGGAGACUGCCAGGGACAACCUGGAGGAAGGUGGGGAUGACGUCAAAUCAUCAUGCCCCUUAUGAUUUGGGCUACACACGUGCUACAAUGGCGUAAACAAAGGGAAGCGACCCUGUGAAGGCGAGCAAAUCUCAAAAAUAACGUCCCAGUUCGGACUGUAGUCUGCAACCCGACUACACGAAGCUGGAAUCGCUAGUAAUCGCGAAUCAGAAUGUCGCGGUGAAUACGUUCCCGGGUCUUGUACACACCGCCCGUCACACCAUGGGAGUCAGCAACGCCCGAAGUCAGUGACCCAACCUUAUGGAGGGAGCUGCCGAAGGCGGGGCAGGUAACUGGGG
rnacentral:rRNA from 1 species